CAACAUCUGUGCUAGUGUAGUUUUGGUUAAAUUUGCAAUGAGCUAAUGGAGUAUUGUACUCCUCUUGCAGCAGUACUGUACUGUACUCAUCUUACAGUAGUUAGUGAGUACUCCAACAGUACUUACUGUAGUUUCUCUCCAUCUUCUCUCAAUUUUAAAUGAAACUUUAAUUUAAACUUUAAAAUUAACUGAAGCUUUACUUCAAAACUGCAAUUGUUGUGCUGUAGUUUAUGUAGUUUCAGUACUGUUUUGGAGUAGUGGUUGCAAAAUUUGGAGUAGCAAGCAGAUCCAGUAUUUGGAGUACCUGAAUAAUCAGAUUUGGAGUUUCUGAUUUGCUGUCAUAUUAGCUUGGAGCAGUAGCAGUGCUUGCUCUGCUCUUCUCUUCUCAAAUAAAAAAAGUGAGUUCAAGAUUUGGAGUAGUGUAGAUCUUCUCUUCUCUUUUCAGUUAAUUUAAAUUAACUCAAACCUUUCAGAUUUGGAGUAUUAAUUAAACUAACUUAAACCCUUUUCUGUUAAUUAAACUAAUUAAAUGAAAUCUUUUGCUGUUUAGUGGAGUAAUUUAGUGUAUAUUGCUCCUCUCCUCUCCUCUCUCUUCUCUUCUCUUCUCUUCUCUUCUCUUCUCUUCAGUACUCCACUAAAUUGGAGUACUUGGCAGUAGGAGUAGUUCUUGGAGUAGGAGUAUAGUGUAGGACAGCAGUAGUAUAUUUAUUAAUAAAGCAUUGCAGUACUCCUGGACGUUAGUACUCCAUGGAGUUACUCCAAUAGCUUAAUCCAGUUACUUACUCUCUUCUUAUCUCUCCUCUCUUCUCUUCUCUUAUCUGGAAAUUAACUGUAAAUUAAAACCUUUCCUGUUAAUUAAAUCUAAAAUAAACCUUUUCUGUUAAUUAAAUCUAAAUUAAAAUUUUUCUGCUAAUUAAAUCUAAAUUAAUCCUCUCCUUUUCUAUUCCACUCCUUUCCUCUCCUAGCCCUUUCCUCCUAAGAAAAUAAGAGAAUUCACUCCACACAAGCCGAUGCAAACAUAUGGAGUAAAAAUGAUCAUACAAAUGGAGCAAAAAAAUCCACUCCACACAAGCCUUUGCAAACAUACUCAGAUAUGGAUGAUAAUCAUACUCCACACAAAUAAUAACAAGGAUGCAACAAGCAUACUCCACAAGCCUCAUCUCAGGUCUCUUGACAACAAGCAUUCAGGCCUCUUCCAUCACUGAACCCUCGCCAUUAGCCCUAAGUUGUGUAGGGCAUUUGCGUAAACCUCUUGAGGGCACGACAAUCUUGGAGGUAGCUGCCCAAGACCCUCAAGUCUUUCCUUGUUCACAUGUGGUAUUUUAUACCCAUUGCCCCCAGCAUGGUUCAGGAUCUCAAUCAUGCACGUUUGCAGAGUUAGGAAAAUUCUGUUGAGCUUGUAAACCUCAUAGCCAUCAAAUUCCUCCAAAACACCAUUAAUAAGGUCUUGUAGUGUUUUAGGACUCAGACAAUCUGUCAGGGAUUGCAGCGAGUUGAAAAACCCAAGGUCAAGCACAUUCAAAUCAGGGCUAUUGGCUGGUUGCUGUAUUAUUCUGAUAUCAAGUCCAGUUUUUGCGACGGCAGCUAGAAAUUCUGGGUCAUUUGGCAAGAUAUGGGGCUUAGCGUUAUCCUGCUGGAUGUAGAUGGUCUGUCCAGCAUCACUUUCAGGCCAAACUGCUUGUAUCGCUGGUAAGACCUUCUCUGUCAGGAACUCCCUCAUCACUUUUCUGUCGACCUUUAUUGACUUUGUCUCUAUUGUACCUCUGGGCCUGUUAUCACUUCUCCUCUGAGCAGGAACUUCUUUCACGAAUGGCCAGAUACCAAUUUUCCCAGAGAAGGUCACGUUUCCUUCACGGUCCCACCUUGGCCUAGCAACGACCGUUAAAAACAUCACCUUGCCAAUACAGUUGCCAUGUAUAGGCCUCGUAGGCUCCUCCUCCCCAUCCAGCAGAUAGUAGGUCUUAUUUUUCUUUGUCAUAUUGAACCAUUUUUCAUCAAUGUGCACAACAUUAUGCAUUGUCUUGAAUUUAGGCCUUGAAGUUUCGAUCGUUGUCUCAUCAAGCAUUGACAUACAAAAUUCCAUCCUAUCCUUUUUAUUCUUCUCUUUUAGAGCUGGCUUCACACAGUUUGUGUGUCUCUUUAUCAAACUCAGCUUGAACUUUCUAUGCAGUGUGGUAGGGCUACAUCCGAGUUGCCAAGCUAGAGAUCUGAUAGUGGACCUCUUAUUUAGUGGGAUGGGUUCGUGGCAUAGGCGAUGCUCAAUUGGGGAAGAAAGGUGGCGCCUCAUGCAAACACUUUGUGCAGUUUUAACUGAAUGUACUCCCUCCGUUCCAAAUUACUCGUCGACGAGUAAUUUGGAACGGAGGGAGUAUAUGUUAGGAGCAAUCCAUGUGAACAUUGAACAAAUCGAGAUUACUGCUGACUUAUGGUUGAGGAUGCCUGGUGUUCAGUGCAAGGACAAUAUGUUUGAUGCCUGAACCUGAAUCUGCGUUUGAGAUCUGCCAAGACUUCCUCCCAGAUAUCUGAUUUGUGAACCUAUUUAUUAAGAUGCCCUCGUAUGUACUCCUUCUCAGUUAUCCUGCUUGCUGAUUUCGCUAGCACAAUGCAUUUUUUGUCAAUUGAAAUUUGGUGCAAACACUCUGUCCAAUUUCAUCUAAAUGUAAAUUUCAUCCAAUUUCUGAGUUAUCCUGCUUGCUGAUUUUGCUAUCACAAUGCAUUUUUUGUCAGUGCAAGGACGCGUUCUCUCAGCACGGCGAUGUUACCCAAGGAGUACUGGAGCUCACCAACUGCAUCUUGACCAGGAUCGAUGCCCUCUUCCUCUUCCAUGUUCAUAUCAUCUUGGAUUGCUGCCUGUUCUGAAGUUGGUGCAAUGGAGCUUGGAGCUCCACCUGCUGGACCUGGAGCCUGUUCAGGACCUGAAGUCAGCGGUGAUCUGCAGUACCUGGAGGUGAAGAUGGCGAGGCCCUGGGAGGGUGGCGGCAAUCUGCAGCAGGGCGCUGGCCUUGGGAUGACGAGGUGGGGGAUCUGCUGGCCUAGGAAGUUGGGGAGGAUGGGAGGGGAUCCGUUGGGCGAGAUGGGAGGCGAUGGAGGUGGAGGUGGAGGAUCUGGGGGUGGGGGGCGACGGAGGCGGGGGCGAUGGAGGUGGAGGAUCCAGAGGUGGGGGGCGACGGAGGCGGGCGGAUCUGGAAGACGACCUGGGUGGAGACGAGGAGAGAAUUCAAAACUGAAGGGUAACCUGGCCAUUUCGCUGCUUUUUCACCUGGUCGGAAAAAACCCCAGCGUCAUGUAUUUCGGAACGGAGGGAGUAAAUAGCAAGUAGGCAAUGGAAUCAGCGGGGGCGACCGCCAGCGUCGGCGCCGAGAAGAAUUCAUGGCCGGAGGUGGUCGGCCUGUCUUUGGAGGAGGCCAAGAAGAAGAUCACAGAGCACAAGCCCGACGCCGGCGCCGAGAAGAAUUCAUGGCCGGAGGUGGUCGGCCUGUCUUCGGAGGAGGCCAAGAAGAUCACAGAGCACAAGCCCGACGCCGGCGCCGAGAAGAAUUAUGUCCACGUCGUUCCGCCCGACGCCUUCUGUCACCAUGGAUUACAACACCGGCCGAGUCAAGGUGUUCGUCGACUCCAGCGACAAGGUCACGAAAGCUCCCAGGAUUGGCUUAGCUAGCUGGGCUCAUCCUUACGUUUGUACCAAUAAAUGAGGACGUAAUUCUGUUUAGCUGUACCCUGUAAGCUUGUGUACUGAUGUAUUCAGAAGAUGCUCCAGUGCGCCUAGAUCUAAUGUAGAGAAGAUACAAAAGGAGAUCAGGCUGGGGAAUAGUUAAAGUAAUGAAAUACCGAUACAUGCAAGAAAAUUUAGUGCAAAUGUAGAUUACAACCA